rnacentral:rRNA from 1 species
GAGCGACUGAUUAGAAGCUUGCUUCUAUGACGUUAGCGGCGGACGGGUGAGUAACACGUGGGCAACCUGCCUGUAAGACUGGGAUAACUUCGGGAAACCGAAGCUAAUACCGGAUAGGAUCUUCUCCUUCAUGGGAGAUGAUUGAAAGAUGGUUUCGGCUAUCACUUACAGAUGGGCCCGCGGUGCAUUAGCUAGUUGGUGAGGUAACGGCUCACCAAGGCAACGAUGCAUAGCCGACCUGAGAGGGUGAUCGGCCACACUGGGACUGAGACACGGCCCAGACUCCUACGGGAGGCAGCAGUAGGGAAUCUUCCGCAAUGGACGAAAGUCUGACGGAGCAACGCCGCGUGAGUGAUGAAGGCUUUCGGGUCGUAAAACUCUGUUGUUAGGGAAGAACAAGUACGAGAGUAACUGCUCGUACCUUGACGGUACCUAACCAGAAAGCCACGGCUAACUACGUGCCAGCAGCCGCGGUAAUACGUAGGUGGCAAGCGUUAUCCGGAAUUAUUGGGCGUAAAGCGCGCGCAGGCGGUUUCUUAAGUCUGAUGUGAAAGCCCACGGCUCAACCGUGGAGGGUCAUUGGAAACUGGGGAACUUGAGUGCAGAAGAGAAAAGCGGAAUUCCACGUGUAGCGGUGAAAUGCGU